CUUAUCCUGUCUGCCACCCGCAGUACUGAUCACAGGCUUUUCACAGGUGGCCAAUCCCGAGUACGUGUUUGUGACUGUGGUGUCAUCUAUGGAUGACUGGAGGUUUCCAGGUUCCUGUGCGGAAAUCAUGAUGACUGUAACCUUGCCCCGAAAUGAAAGACGUGGCUGUUAUGCAGAUAAGCGGUGAUGUGGGCUUCAACCACAGCAUGAUCCGUCUGAUCUGCAGAUCGCUAGGGUCUUGUGAAGAAGACAUGACAAUGAAGUUCAUGUUGGUUAAAGGAGGACAUUUCUCAUAUUCGAAUAAGUGGUGAUGUGUCCUCACACUCAUUGUUACCAUGACUUGUUUACCAAGAGUCAGGGGAACAUCCACCAGAUGAAGGUGUCUCUGGCAAUGGCAUAGAUCUGAGAGGACUUCGAGAUGCCAGGUUGCUGUCUAAUUACCAUGGUGAACUUUAUCUUGAUCAUUGGCCUAUCGAUGCUUGAAUCCCGAUUUCACAAUGUGUCUCCAGGUUCCUAUCAUAUAAUCACAGUUUACCUAACAUUUUCAUUAAUGGGACAUAUGGCUUGUAUGCUGGGGACACUUCUAGAAUCCAGAUUAGUGAUGAUAUGCACCUUCACCAUAUCAUAGACCAGGCACUCUUUAUAUUCUUAGAUACACAGUCAAGAGAUGAUGGUGUCUUUAUCAACAUUGGUGUUCAUGGCAAUGAAAGAAGACUGGGAUACUUUUAUGAUUACACCGUUGAAACAGAAACUAAGAACUUGGUGACCAACUACUUCACCACCAUCAUGAAAGUGAAAGCCCUGAAUGCAGAGAGGUCAAUCAAUGUCACACUAUGUUUAGUUACCACCUGCUCUUUCAACUGUCCUGUUUGUUUGAAAGCCUAAGACGGAUUAAAAAUCAGUG